UCCCUUAGUAACGGCGAGCGAAGCGGGAAGAGCUCAAAUUUGAAAUCUCCGGUGCCUGCACCGGCGAAUUGUAGUCUGUAGGGCCAGUUUCGCCCGACGCGGUGUCCCCAAAGUCGUCCUGGAAAGGCGGGCCGGAGAGGGUGAGAGCCCCGUGUGCGGGGGCGCCGCGGAAGGUAAGAUCUGUGCCCGAAGAGUCGGGUUGUUUGGGAUUGCAGCCCAAAACGGGUGGUAAACUCCAUCUAAAGCUAAAUACCGGCACGAGACCGAUAGCGAACAAGUACCGUGAGGGAAAGAUGAAAAGCACUUUGAAAAGAGAGUCAAACAGUACGUGAAACCGUCGGGAGGGAAACGAACGAGGUUGGUGCAGUGAUUGCGCAGGCUCAGGCUCGGCCGAAGGUGCCGUCGCGGUGACCAGAGCGUCCCGUGGCGUCCGCCGGAGGCAGAGCCGUACUCCUCGCGAGCACGGACCAGCGGCGGUCGGAGCGGGGCCACAAGGCCGCGGGUACGGUACGUCGGGUCGGGCUUCGGCUCGCCCGACGACUUAUAGACCAGCGAUCCGGCGUCCCGCUUUGACCGAGGAAGGAGGGCAGCUCUUGCCCGGUGUGGUGCACGCCGUACGGCGGGGCCUCCCGUCGAGGGCGAGUCGCGCUGCGUGGACUGCGUGCAGUGCUCACGGUUGCGGCGGACCCACGGUCGGAGAGCGUCACUUGUGCACCAGUGCCGCUGGUAUUGGGACGGCCUCGUCCGACCCGUCUUGAAACACGGAA
rnacentral:rRNA from 1 species